rnacentral:lncRNA from 1 species
CAGAAUUAUAUAGCACAAAGUUGCCUGAAUCAGACAUAGAAGCUAAAGAAGCUGGCUGGGAAGCAGAAACUAUCGCAGUCUCACCCCCUUGUGCUGAUGUCAAGACAACCCUGCCAUCACUGGUGAAGUUCAAGGUCGCAUUACUGGGGACUGGGGCAUCAUCCCUUCUAGCAGCCCACACAACAUUCUGUAGUGAAAUCCCGGAUAGAAAAACCCCUAUAGAAUAGCCAUCGCGUUGUCGGAAAAAUCCGAAAGAAUAAAGACCGGAAGGUGACAACCAUGAGGAGUUUGUGAUAGGUGUUAGAGAAGAUCCCAGGGUUAUAUUGGUCUGUCUUUGAGCUGAAGCUGUAAAAGAUAAGGCGAGAAGAAGAAAAAAGAUGAUAGAAGCCAUGGAUAGGGAUUUAGCUCUUGUGUGGUAUGGAGUGUCAAUUUAAGGAUGUCUAUUGUUCCAGCACUCCAGUCUCUUUCUUUGGUUUCCAGCAGUCAAGCCAGGCACUCAAACAUAAAAGUCUAGCCAUAGAAUCCACCGCGUUUCCCUACCAAUUGGUGGAAAUUGUUGCUCUUACUUUUAUGCUUUCAAAGUCAAUGCAGUCAAGUCACCGAAAAAUCUUGGCAAUUACUUGGCUCUGGUCCACUUUUUCCAUCUUUUGUAUCCCCCAUUUGAACAGCCAUUUGCUAAUUUCCCCGUGACUAUUCUUGGUUCUAAUUUUCUGCAGCAGAUUCUUUUUAUUUGCCAAGUACCAUUCAAUACGCUUUGAAGACACGAUCUUUAGCUUCCUGCAGACAGCUUCAACUAGUUAAGAAACAUCGAUUGUGGUGCCAAUGGUAAUACCCUGGCAUUAUACUAGGGCAAGACAGAACAACUUGCUAGCUUAUAGAAAUGUCCCUCAAAUGCUAAAGCCUAGCUAGCAACCUCAGUUUCUAACGAAAGAGCAUCUCUACAUGUUGCGUAACUAACAAUCCCUUGAAUAUUAAAACUGAAAAGUGGAACUCAUUGGACCGUUGAUUUUAUGAUCAAUUCCACCGUACGACUUAAUUCAGAGUACAAUUGAGGUGGUCACGGCAAGGACUGAGUCAAGGGACAACCUAGCAUUUGCUGACCUGCUCUUCUCAGCAAAAGCUUCUUCUCUCACCAGCUUCAUGCCAUGGUUGCUGAUUGGAGGGGCUUUAUAAUUUAUUUAUUACAAAUGUGCUAUGAAAAAGAAAAAAAAUGCUAUGAUAUUAAAAAAAAAAAAAGAAUUUCCUCGUAGCUAUGAUAUUUGUGAUAUUAAUUAUGUUACACUUGUGAUCAUGUUGAUGAGAAUAAUAAUAAAUUCAUAUCGUUUUAGUAAUGUUUAUGUUAGCAAGUAAUGCUACUGAAGGUAAAGAAGCUGUGACGAAGAUGAUGGUGAUGUAAUGGUAAUGACGAUUAAAGUGAUUCAAAAAUAUUUUUCUUUUGAUAAUUUAUUAGUGUAUAUAUUUCAAAUGUUUAAGAUAUUUUUCAAAUAAAUGUACCUUAACUAUGAUAAAUGAUAUAUUCUCCGUUUGUUUGCAAUUUGAUUGUAAAGGCUUCCUUUUAACAUAAUUCUGCUUGAUAUACUCCAUGUAAUUACAAACUAAUUAGCUCAUUUUGGUCUUCUCACUUCUGGCAAUUAGUCAGUUUGAUGGCAACGUGCAACAAUGUACGGUCACCAACUGUUGUAUUGGACUUCGAUUCACCAAUAAUGCCCUGCAACUGAGUUUGAGCGUAGGAAUGGACAUUUGCAUUUUAGGCAAGGAAUUGCCUUGUAGAAUAGAAGAAGAAGAAGAAGAAGAAGGGGAAAAAACAAGCAAAGAUCAUAGUCUCAUUAAUUCUAUUCUUCGUAAAGAGCUCACUCUUGAGAUAACAUAAGAUCAACAAACGUUGUUUGUACUAAGAACACGUGAAGCUUUCAUGCUAACAUUUUCUUUUCUCCUCUUUAUAAAACUUUUUUUUUAAUAUAUAAGAUACGAUGGGAAACAACUUUACAGGCAUUAACAUUAGAAGAAAAAUCAACAGGAAGCUCCCAAAUGCUGCGUAAACAUAUAGCAAUUUUAUAAAGAAAAGGAAUACAUGACCCGAAAAAUAAAAUACAACACUCUGCAGAUGAAUCUCUUAUUCGGAACCACAAAACGCAGCUCAUAUAGCAGUAAAAAAAGAAGUAGGACUUGGAGGGAUUGGGAUUUCGACUGUCCCCUCCAACAUGAGGAGGACCUUUUUCAUUGAAGGGCGGAGGGAUGGCUCAUCAAGAGUGCACCAAAUUCCCACUUUAACCAUCCUAUCUAGCUGUUUCUUUUCGGCGACUUCUUCGCCCACAAGCUUGUCCAUAUCACCGUCCUGAAAACAUUGGUAAACCCACUGUUCGAGAACAGCUUCAUCUUCUGGAAGACUCCAAUCCACAUUCUUUCGACAACAUGUUAUCUCCAACAACAUAACUCCAAAGCUGUAAACAUCUGCUUUAACUGUCACCGGCAUAUUCCGGUGCCAUUCUGGUGCUACAUAUCCCCUCGUCCCUCUGAUUCCGGUGAAGGUUUUAGUUUGGUCUGACUUCAGCAACUUUGCCAAUCCAAAGUCAGAAACUUUGGGGCACCUGCUUUCAUCUAUUAGUAUAUUCUGAGGUUUUAUAUCACAGUGGAUGAUCUGAGUGUCGCACUCUUCAUGUAGAUAAACAAUACCCCUUGCAAUGUUGCGAGCAAUUUCCAACCUUUCAGGGAAGCAAGGUCGUUUUUCAAGUGAGAAGAGUAUGUCAGCGAGGGAGCCAUUGCUCAUGUACUCGUAUACCAGGAGCCUGUGAUGUUCAUCAUGGCAAUAGCCGAGCAGACGGACUAGGUUUCUGUGAUGUGUUUUCCCAAUGACUUUCAUCUCAUUCUGAAAUUCUCUUUCCCCUUCAGCUAGAACUUUCUCCAGUCUCUUUACAGCAACAACCUUCCGAGUACUUGAUAUUAUCCCUUUAUAAACUGUCCCAAAUGAUCCCCUGCCAAUUUCUUCCUUGAAACCACCAGUAAUAUUUUCUAGCUCUGCAUAAGUGAAAGCUCGAGGAGCAAAUUCCUCAUUCAUUCCCGUACUAUCAUUACUGGGCACCUGUUUAUAUGCCAAUACAUGAUAUCUGUAAACGAUUAUUCCGAAAAUCACCACCAUAGCAAGCCCAAAAGCAACAAAUGAACCACUUAUUAUUAGGAUAGUCCUGCCAGUGCCAGGGUUCUUCUUCUCGGUUAUAGGCUCUUUUCUGUCCAUGGUGGAUAUGGGUCUGCCCACCUUGACGACAGCCAAGUUCGUACUUCCUAAGUUUCUCCUCCCAAAUCUCAAAGGAAGCCUUUGCUUUCUGCAAUACUGCCCAUCAGUGAAUAAUGCUGCUUCACAGUUACAGUCUUCCAAACAGGCUUGCUUACAAUUGUCUUUAGUUGUUGAUGACAAAACGGAGUAUGAAACAUCUUCCCACUCAGUACUAGACAGCUCUUCCAUGGUGUAUGUGCUACUUCCAUUCUUGUCGUUGCAACUUUCAGCAUUGAAAUCCCUCUCACAGCCAGAAGUCCAAUUUCCCUGGGUAACAAACUCAAAUCCAGGAAGACAAGUACAUUCAGCUUCCUUACCCUCCAUAACACAAUAUCCAUUAAGACCACAUGAUCCUUUCGGGUCACACUUGUUGCUUGUGGAAGACCACACAGCUGACCAGUUUCCAUUCCGUGUCAGAUUUCGUGAAUAUAAUCUGAGAAUCCCGUCAGCAUCAAGUUUCAUCAUCUUAAUUGUUUCUUUCGUGGGAUAUCCUACAGCUGUAAAGUUUCUUAUGUUGAAACCUGUGGAAUUGAGCAGGUAGAGACGGCCAUCCGGAUCAAGAUUUAGGGUCACAUUAUCUCCCGCCCCAUAAGUACCAGAUGCAAAAUAAGAAUAUGGAGCUGUAUCUGGAGUAUUAACAGGAUACUGCACAAGGUGUCCAUCAUGUUGCAUCUUGAGUCGGUAAAUACCAGUUGAGAGGUCAGUUUCUGAAACAGGAGAAAACAGCUCUGCACCCGCUUUGAGCUGUUGAGUUGGCAAAAGGGUAUCUGUUGGGUGGUCAAAACUCUGCCAUAUAAUCUGGCGAUCAGAAUUAUAUAGCACAAAGUUGCCUGAAUCAGACAUAGAAGCUAAAGAAGCUGGCUGGGAAGAAGAAACUAUCGAAGUCUCACCCCCUUGUGCUGAUGUCAAGACAACCCUGCCAUCACUGGUGAAGUUCAAGGUCGCAUUACUGGGGACUGGGGCAUCAUCCCUUCUAGCAGCCCACACAACAUUCUUUAGUGAAAUCCCGGAUAGAAAAACCCCUAUAGAAUAGCCAUCGCGUUGUCGGAAAAAUCCGAAAGCAUAAAGACCGGAAGGUGACAACCAUGAGGAGUUU